rnacentral:rRNA from 1 species
UACGGAGGGUGCGAGCGUUGUCCGGAAUCAUUGGGCGUAAAGGGCGCGUAGGUGGCCCGGUCAGUUCGUGGUGAAAGCGCGGGGCUCAACCCUGCGUCGGCCAUGAAUACUGCCGCGGCUGGAGCACUGUAGAGGCAGGCGGAAUUCCGGGUGUAGCGGUGGAAUGCGUAGAUAUCCGGAGGAACACCAGCGGCGAAGGCGGCUUUCUGGUCCGAUUCUGACGCUGAGGCGCGAAAGCGUGGGGAGCGAUCCGG